UGCUUUGAUGGGUUAUCCAAAAAGCAAUAUAAUAAAUUGUACUUUUCUUUUGCAGACUCCAGAAGGGAUGGUAAGGGCAGGCCUAAUUGUGAAUCUUGUGACAAUGGAUAUGGUCUGAACUAUCCGAAGAAACGGAGGCAAUGGCAAAAUAGACCAUUGAGAACACAGGCACAGGCUAACCCAGCAAACAACCCCUUUGGACAGGGGAAUGAUGAAGAACUCUGGAAUGGGUAUGACAGAUCUGGUAAAACAAGAGGAGCAAAUGGAAGAAACAAAAGGUACUGACUGACCAGAGACUGUCAAACUAUUUUUUAACCCCCUAUUUAUAGGCCUACCUAAGACAAUAAAUAAACUUUUUAUAUAAAUCUGUGGUCUUUGUCUUUGAGGGGAGGCUUAUUAAAUGACAAUUGGAAAAUGGGUACAGUGCUUUUGAGGUAGUUCUGACCAUGUCAUUCUGUAGACUCGUGUUUACUAUUUUGAAAGAAAGGUGCACCAGAGCUGUGUAAUACAUUGUCCCAGGGCUGUUGCUGAGGUGGGGGAAAAGU
rnacentral:lncRNA from 1 species